rnacentral:antisense_RNA from 1 species
GUGGCAAGUGCGUACCCUCUCCGCGGGAUCAUCGCCAUGGUCCUGCAAUCCUAGGAGUCGGGCAGGGCCGAACCUGCCUGAAGAAACCUCAAGCGGAGAUUCAAGGAAGCACCACGUGAUCCCUAAGGAUCCCAACGAUGCGUCCGACAUGCAUGAACGGUGUGAGGGUGCGUCUCCCUGACAGCUGUCCCCGCUGGGAUUUCGAGCAAUGCUGAGAAGCCGAAGGCCCUGGUCUUGGAGAUCAGGACAGGGCCCUGGGAGGCCCAGGUCGAAAGGGGGCCAGUCAGCUCAUGGGGCGAGGGAAUGUCCUGCUCACACCCUCCACUGGGGUCUCAGGAAUUAUCCGAUGAAAAGUAGAAGAGGUUGAAUGACUUUCUGUGGCCUUUUCUUCACAGAUUUUCCAUAUGCUGUUCUAUCUGCCAAGAAUGCUCUCAAAGUGGCCACCUCCUUUGCGUGUGAAAUGUCCUAGCUUAAAUGUCAGCUGCUCAGAAAGACUAUCCUGGAUCACUUUAAUUAGGUCCAUGCCAUGGCUCACCUGAAACUUCAUGUACCAUUGCACUUCCUGAGAAGCUGUCCCCAAUCCCAGGCUCCUAGCAAUGCUGUUCCAGUAAUCUCUCUUCUGUAAGACAGCCACUCCACCCACUGCAGUCUACAAGGAAAGCCUCCGUAGCUCUGAUUAUUCAGUAAGAACAGUCUCAGGAAAACAGGACCUUCAACAGAGAUAAGAGAAUUAAAAUACGCAGACUAACAACUCUGGGAAUGGGCUGACCAGCCUGAUAAGAAUAGGCUGACGGCACCUACAGAAGGCCACAAAACACUGACCAAGAAAGCAAUGACCAACAAAGCAAUGACCUGAGACUGCACAUUUCACAAGAAUGUUUUGAUCAUCAUUUUUUCUAAUUUCCCUUAAAAACCCCUGAUAUAGAGACAGAACUCGGUGGUCUUUGAACACUAGUUCACUGCCUCCCCUGGGUGGUUGGAUUCCUGAAUAAAGCUAACCAUCCUUUCACCAAUGCUCAUCUCUUGAGCUUUCAAGUGACAACUGGUCUGGACCCGAAUUUCAUUACAAAACCUAUGUAUACCUUACCUUACAUGGCAAAGGGAACUUUAGAAGUGCAAUUAAAUUAAGGAUCUUGAGAGGGGGUUAUCCUGGAUUAUCUGGUUGGGCCCAAUGUAUUUGUAAGUGAUAGAGGGAGGCAGGUGAGUAAAAGAAGGAAAUGUGAUGAUGAAAGCAAAAGUCAAAGUGUGAUUGCUGGCUUUGAAAAUGGAUGGAAGCCACACCCCAGGGACUGUGGACAGCCUUUAGAACCAGAAAAGGACAAGGAAACAGAUUCUCCAGUCCUCUAGAACCUCCAGAAGGAACACGGCUCUGCUAAUACUAUGAUAUUAGCCCUUGCAGACUGAUUUCAGACUUCUGACCAGCAGAAGUAUAAAUCAUAAUUAUAUUGAUUUAAGCCACUAAAUUAGUGGUUAUUAGUAACAGCAGCAACAGGAAACUAUAUCAGGAACAAGAGCCCUUCCCUCAUAGAACCCCAUUCUCAACCAAUUUUCAAACUUUCACAGAAAAUCUUGCCACACACUGAGACUAGGAACAUCCAACAAAAAAAUGCUGUCACUUUCAAAUGGAAAACCCAGGUUUGUAGAGAAGAUGAAAUUUUGUCAUGUGUCACAUUUAAACACUCAUCUCUACCUCACCAAACCGUGGUACUAAUGUGUACCAAUCUUAAAAGGAGGUAUUUCUGUUCCCUCAGAGCUCUGGGCAGAAGACUAUGCCUGUGGACAAUGUAGAAUUAUCUGCUGAAUGAAUAUCUGAAAACUGUUUGGAGAGGGGAAAAGCAUUGAGAAGAACUGGGCUCUUUGCUACUAUUACUCGCUAGAAUGGGAGACAUUUGGUAGCAGUUCCCUUAAGGGACCAAACAAGACAGGAAAUUCUGGGAUAAAUAAAUCUGGUGUUCACAUUACACAACAAAAUGAUUGUACUUCAAGAAGGAAAGAAACAGCAACUCACAUGGGGCAUGGUUUUUUAGAACUGUCAGAACUGAUCAAUUUUCUGGGUUCUUCUUCUGGCGGUGUGCAAAGUCCAGAGAAGCCAGUGCUGGACAAGGAAAAAAAGCCACAAGAUUAGACUUGGCUCACAGCCCACAAAAUAAGCCACUUAGAACUACCUUUACUUCUCCUCUUUUGGGAAUUUGGAAAAAAUCUCAGUUCUUCCACAAACCCAGUGGAAGCCAGCUACUGCAGAAGGGGUUCAGGCAGACCUUUCCUUAAUGUCCAUGUUGAACAGGACCCUAGGUGCUGUUACUUUCCCAUGGCAUCUCCUCCUCCACAGUAGAACGGGGGCAUGCCCAGGGAGCCCCCCACCAUCCCCCUGGACCCAAACACUAAGUGAGGUACUUUGCUCCCAAUCUUAGGAAGAGGCUUCAGAGACCAAAAUGUGGCCUCCUUUCAGACAUCAUGAACAUCAGCUAGACUCACAGACAUUUUGACAGCCAUAUCAGGGUCAACAGAUCCAAAACAGUCUCAUCCCACUCCCCUGAAUCUAGUUCUUUCUUGCCUGUUUACUCUUCCCUAUAAAAGAAAAUUCCUUUAUGCCUGACCUUUGCUAUGCUUGCAGAUCUUACGGUUGGAGUAUUCUCCCAAUUACAACACCUCUUCCCUUACUGCAAUGUUCCUGUGAAUAAAGUCAUUCCUUACCAAA